CGGAGGUGCAAGCGUUAAUCGGAAUUACUGGGCGUAAAGCGCACGCAGGCGGUCUGUCAAGUCGGAUGUGAAAUCCCCGGGCUCAACCUGGGAACUGCAUUCGAAACUGGCAGGCUGGAGUCUUGUAGAGGGGUAGAAUUCCAGGUGUAGCGGUGAAAUGCGUAGAGAUCUGGAGGAAUACCGGUGGCGAAGGCGGCCCCCUGGACAAAGACUGACGCUCAGGUGCGAAAGCGUGGGAGCAAACAGGAUU
rnacentral:rRNA from 1 species